rnacentral:rRNA from 1 species
AGUGAACGCUGGCGGUAGGCCUAACACAUGCGAGUCGAACGGCAGCACAGUAAGAGCUUGCUCUUACGGGUGGCGAGUGGCGGACGGGUGAGGAAUACAUCGGAAUCUACUUUUUCGUGGGGGAUAACGUAGGGAAACUUACGCUAAUACCGCAUACGACCUACGGGUGAAAGCAGGGGAUCUUCGGACCUUGCGCGAUUGAAUGAGCCGAUGUCGGAUUAGUUAGUUGGCGGGGUAAAGGCCCACCAAGGCGACGAUCCGUAGCUGGUCUGAGAGGAUGAUCAGCCACACUGGAACUGAGACACGGUCCAGACUCCUACGGGAGGCAGCAGUGGGGAAUAUUGGACAAUGGGCGCAAGCCUGAUCCAGCCAUACCGCGUGGGUGAAGAAGGCCUUCGGGUUGUAAAGCCCUUUUGUUGGGAAAGAAAAGCAGCAGGUUAAUACCCCGCUGUUCUGACGGUACCCAAAGAAUAAGCACCGGCUAACUUCGUG